rnacentral:lncRNA from 7 species
ACACAACAGGGAUAACAAACUAACAGGCUUGAUUGCAUAAAUUCCAAUAUGGCGCGGAAUAUACACCUUAGUUCGUUUAUGGAAUAGAAGACAGCAUAACGUCAAAUAUCAAAUUCUUUCUGUUUUUCUUUUGUCUCAACACACUAAUCCAUCUAGACAAAAACAUCAGUGUGUAUCAAGUAUCAUCAUGCCUUCGGUCAACAAAUCAUCUUGUGAAAAUUUGAAAAUUCAGUAACCUGCGUACAAGUGAGCUUUUAGUUUUUUUUUCUAAAAUCAAGAUUACUGAAACACAACCAAUUUGGGUCAAAUCAAUAGAGCAACAAACCUCCAGCUUCCCUGAUAAAUGGUGACGAUGUUGUCCAUUUAUUGUUUGCCCAGUACUCCAGCAGAGUAGGUACAGAUAGAAACAUGACACAAAUCAAGUGGGGAUGUCGUGCGCUUGAGACUACAAUGAUGCAAAUUUUCUCAUACAACGGAUGGAGUUUUAGUAAUCGAAUUGGUUUUUAGUAGAUUUCGAAAUAUGGUUGUUCUUGAGAUAUUAAACAUCAUGUGUUUUGGUUUGAGAUGUAAUAAUUGAAUAGCCACAUGCAUCUAUUGGUGCAGAAGCUGGAAUAUUUCAAUAUAUUCCCCAUUCUAAAAAAAAUGGUUGUUGUUCGUCGC